UAGGGAAUAUUCCACAAUGAGCGAAAGCUUGAUGGAGCGACACAGCGUGCACGAUAAAGGCCCUCGGGUUGUAAAGUGCUGUUGCAAGGGAAGAACACUUAGUUGAGGAAAUGCAACUAAGCUGACGGUACCUUGUUAGAAAGCGAUGGCUAACUAUGUGCCAGCAGCCGCGGUAAUACAUAGGUCGCAAGCGUUAUCCGGAAUUAUUGGGCGUAAAGCGUUCGUAGGCUGUUUAUUAAGUCUGGAGUCAAAUCCCAGGGCUCAACCCUGGCUCGCUUUGGAUACUGGUAAACUAGAGUUGGAUAGAGGUAAGCGGAAUUCCAUGCGAAGCGGUGAAAUGCGUAGAUAUAUGGAAGAACACCAAAGGCGAAGGCAGCUUACUGGGUCUAUACUGACGCUGAGGGACGAAAGCGUGGGGAGCAAACAGGAUUAGAUACCCUGGUAGUCCACGCCGUAACGAUGAUCAUUAGUCGGUGGGAGCCACUGACGCAGCUAACGCAUUAAAUGAUCCGCCUGAGUAGUAUGCUCGCAAGAGU
rnacentral:rRNA from 1 species